GCCCUGCUCUUCUCCAUCCUGCUGUGCCUCCCAGCACAGAGCAAGGCAGCCAUGGAGGGCAGUGGUGAAACCAUAUGUGCUGGGCAAAUUGGUGGCAUUAGUAAUGGCAAGACAGGCAUUGUAGGAGGUGUAGGUGGAUGCUUUAUGAAACCAAAAUACCCUCCACCACCGAUGUCUGAGGUGGAGCUUCUGCAGGAGUGAUGCCCGGCUGCCCCUCUGGAUGCCCUGGCCUGGAUCUGGUGGUGACACUCGCGUCCUGUCCCUCUCCAGCGGCAUGAGGAGAUGAUCAUCCCUGGAGAACCCCCCUAAUUCCUUGGGAGCCCUGGGAAUUUCCCUGGAAUAAUCAAUAAACCCCUUCAGCAAAGCAAU
rnacentral:lncRNA from 1 species